UACGUAGGCAGCGAGCGUUGUUCGGAGUUACUGGGCGUAAAGGGUGUGUAGGCGGUUGUUUAAGUUUGGUGUGAAAUCUCCCGGCUCAACUGGGAGGGUGCGCCGAAUACUGAAUGACUUGGAGUGCGGGAGAGGAGAGUGGAAUUCCUGGUGUAGCGGUGAAAUGCGUAGAUAUCAGGAGGAACACCGGUGGUGUAGACGGCUCUCUGGACCGUAACUGACGCUGAGACGCGAAAGCGUGGGUAGCAAACAGG
rnacentral:rRNA from 1 species